rnacentral:piRNA from 1 species
UAAAGAACCCUCUGACUCAUGAAACCC